AAUCAACGCUGGCGGCGUGCCUCAGACAUGCAAGUCGAACGAUUAAAGCUCUCUUCGGAGAGUGCAUAAAGUGGCGCACGGGUGAGUAACACGUAAGUAAUCUGCCCUCGAGUGGGGAAUAACGUCCGGAAACGGACGCUAAUACCGCAUAACGCAGCGGCACCGCAAGGUGACAGUUGUUAAAGGAGCAAUCCGCUUGAGGAGGGGCUUGCGGCAGAUUAGCUUGUUGGUAGGGUAACGGCCUACCAAGGCUACGAUCUGUAACCGGUCUAAGAGGACGGUGGGGCACACUGACACAGAAUCACGGGUCAGGCUCCUACGGGAGGGAGCAGUCGGGAAUUUUGGGCAAUUGGGGAAACCCUUACCCAGCAACGCCGCGUGAAGGAUGAAGUAUUUCGGUAUGUAAACUUCGAAAGAAUAGGAAGAAUUAAUGACGGUACUAUUUAUAAGGUCCGGCUAACUACGUGCCAGCAGCCGCGGUAAAAC
rnacentral:rRNA from 1 species